GAUGAACGCUAGCGGCAGGCUUAACACAUGCAAGUCGAGGGGUAGAAGGAGCUUGCUCCUUUGAGACCGGCGCACGGGUGCGUAACGCGUAUGCAAUCUACCUUUUGCAGAGGGAUAGCCCAGAGAAAUUUGGAUUAAUACCUCAUAGUAUGUGAGGAUGGCAUCAUUUUCACAUUAAAGUCACAACGGCAAAAGAUGAGCAUGCGUCCCAUUAGCUAGUUGGUAAGGUAACGGCUUACCAAGGCUACGAUGGGUAGGGGUCCUGAGAGGGAGAUCCCCCACACUGGUACUGAGACACGGACCAGACUCCUACGGGAGGCAGCAGUGAGGAAUAUUGGACAAUGGGCGCAAGCCUGAUCCAGCCAUGCCGCGUGCAGGAUGACGGUCCUAUGGAUUGUAAACUGCUUUUGUACAGGAAGAAACACUACUUCGUGAAGUAGCUUGACGGUACUGU
rnacentral:rRNA from 1 species